CCCGCUCAAAUGAUGAAAUAUUUCGGAUGUAAAUCACAGACCUGUACCGAAAGCGCAAAACCGUGUGGAUAUUUUCCGUUGCCUUCCUUCUGAUUGAGCAU
rnacentral:snoRNA from 1 species